UACGUAGGGUGCGAGCGUUUGUCCGGAAUUAUUGGGCGUAAAGGGCUCGUAGGCGGUCUGUCACGUCGGGAGUGAAAACUCAGGGCUUAACCCUGAGCCUGCUUCCGAUACGGGCAGACUAGAGGUAUGCAGGGGAGAACGGAAUUCCUGGUGUAGCGGUGAAAUGCGCAGAUAUCAGGAGGAACACCGGUGGCGAAGGCGGUUCUCUGGGCAUGUCCUGACGCUGAGGAGCGAAAGUGUGGGGAGCGAACAGG
rnacentral:rRNA from 1 species